GACGGCUUAGCAAAGUGGUUACUGCGAUUGAUUCGAAUUACUCGUCUAUCAAUUCCUCUCUGAGGGCGUAGGUUCGAGUCCUACAGUCGUCG